rnacentral:lncRNA from 1 species
UCCAUGAGACAUCUUUUGGUAUUAUGUGGCACUGAUGGGUUUGCUGGAUAGAACUGAGUUCACAAGGACUUGGGAGCACCAAGGUGAAGAUUGUGAGCUUAAGUGUGGCACUCCCAAGCCUUGAAAAUAGGUGAAAAGAGGCAAAUGGGUCAAAAAGCAAGCUAGCAGAAGUUUCAGCCAAGGUAGUAGUGUUUCUGUAGGUCAGUCGACUUA